rnacentral:rRNA from 1 species
AACGAACGCUGGCGGCAGGCCUAACACAUGCAAGUCGAACGCCGUAGCAAUACGGAGUGGCAGACGGGUGAGUAACACGUGGGAACGUACCCUUCGGUUCGGGAUAACUCAGGGAAACUUGAGCUAAUACCGGAUACGUCCGAGAGGAGAAAGAUUUAUCGCCGAGGGAUCGGCCCGCGUCUGAUUAGCUUGUUGGUGAGGUAACGGCUCACCAAGGCGACGAUCAGUAGCUGGCUGAGAGGAUGAUCAGCCACAUUGGGACUGAGACACGGCCCAAACUCCUACGGGAGGCAGCAGUGGGGAAUAUUGGACAAUGGGCGCAAGCCUGAUCCGGCCAUGCCGCGUGAGUGAUGAAGGCCCUAGGGUUGUAAAGCUCUUUUGUGCGGGAAGAUAAUGACGGUACGCAAGAAUAAGCCCCGGCUAACUUCGUGCCAGCCGCCGCAGUAAAA